rnacentral:rRNA from 1 species
UACGGAGGGGCUAGCGUUGUUCGGAAUUACUGGGCGUAAAGCGCGCGCAGGCGGUCUUCCAAGUCAGUGGUGAAAGCCCGGAGCUCAACUCCGGAACUGCCAUUGAAACUGUUGGACUUGAGUAUGAGAGAGGUGAGUGGAAUUCCCAGUGUAGAGGUGAAAUUCGUAGAUAUUGGGAAGAACACCGGUGGCGAAGGCGGCUCACUGGCUCAUUACUGACGCUCAGGCGCGACAGCGUGGGGAUCAAACAGG